GGCGAUCAGAUACCGCCCUAGUUCUAACCGUAAACUAUGCCAACUAGCGAUCCGUCGGUGUUAAAUAUUGACUCGACGGGCAGCUUCCGGGAAACCAAAGUUUAUAGGUUCCGGGGGAAGUAUGGUUGCAAAGCUUAAACUUAAAGGAAUUGACGGAAGGGCACCACCAGGAGUGGAGCCUGCGGCUUAAUUUGACUCAACACGGGGAAACUCACCCGGCCAGGACACAAUAAGGAUUGACAGAUUGAUAGCUCUUUCUUGAUUUUGUGGGUGGUGGUGCAUGGCCGUUCUUAGUUGGUGGAGCGAUUUGUCUGGUUAAUUCCGAUAACGAACGAGACUCUAGCCUAUUAAAUAGACGAUAUAUCGUCUUCGUAUAUCGAGCUUCUUAGAGGGACGAGCAGCUUCUAGCUGCACGAGAUUGAGCAAUAACAGGUCUGUGAUGCCCUUAGAUGUCCGGGGCUGCACGCGCGCUACAAUGAAAAUAGCAGCGCGUGUCGAAAACCUUUUCUGGAAAGAAUUGGUAAACGCGAAAUAUUUUCGUGAUAGGGAUAGGGGAUUGAAAUUAUUGCCCUUGAACGAGGAAUUCCCAGUAAAUUCGAGUCAUCAGCUCGAGUUGAUUACGUCCCUGCCCUUUGUA
rnacentral:rRNA from 2 species